rnacentral:rRNA from 1 species
AUGAUCUCGUCAACCCUCAGGAUCAUCUCCGCAGCCUCGGUCGCCGACAGGACGAUGGCCUGCUUCACCUUGAACGCCUCGCAGAUGCCACGCUUCUGCAUGUCUCCCAGCUGCACAACAGGGGACCAUGUUAGUUCCAAACUCCCUCAGGUACAGGUUCAGAUACAAAAUCAUUGUCACGAUGAGCUUACCCCGCCGCUGAUGACGUCGAUUCCAACAGUGCUGUUCUCCUUGUGGUGCUCGGCUCGGAGCUGGGAGAUCAGCUCGGCACUAUCCAGACCAGCAUUGUCAGCUAUGAUUGUUGGGAUGGCUUGCAGGGCACGCGAAAAAGCAUCAAUAGCAUGA